rnacentral:lncRNA from 10 species
CGCCCGCCACCAUGCCCGGCUAAUUUCUUUUUGUAUUUUCAGUAGAGACGGAGUUUCACCAUGUUAGCCAGGAUGGUCUCGAUCUCCUGACCUCGUGAUCCGCCCGCCUCGGCCUCCAAAAGUGCUGGGAUUACAGGCGUGAGCCACCGCGCCCGGCCUUCUUUUUUUUUUUUUUUUUUUUUUUUUUAACUUUUGUUUUAGGUUCAGGGCUAUAUGUGCAGGUUUGUUACAUAGGUAAACUUGUGUCAUGGGGGUUUGUUGUACAGAUUAUUUCAUCACCCAGGUACUAAGCCAAGUACCUGGUAGUGAUAUUUCCUGAUUCUCUCCCUCCUCCCAUCCUCCACCCUCUAGUAGGCCCCAGUGUCUGUUGUUCCCUUCUUUGUGUCCAUAAGUUAUCAUCAUUUAGCUUCCACUUAUAAGUGAGAACAGGCGGUAUUUGGUUUUCUGUUCCCGUGAUUUUUUUAGGUUAACAGGCAGAAGGGAGAGAGGUGUUUGCCUGGAGAAAGGAUAAGAUGACCUGGUGUUGUUGGGUUGAGGGGUGAGGCAGUUCUGUGAUCUGGGUCCCAGAGCAGGGACAGGGUGCAGCCUGUUGUGAAAGCCCAAUGCACCGGAUGUGUGUCCUCUCUAAGAAGGUAGCACAGCCAUGUGCAGUGUCAUUGAGCAUGCCCUCUGCCCAGGGCUCUGCCAGCCCAGCCAGUGAGGCUCAAGUUGGGGGACAGGAGGUUGGGGGUCAGGGAGAGAUGCUUGGGAAGCGAGGAAAAGAGAAAAGGAAAAGGCACCUAAGAGCUGGCAGGCUGGAGUCAGGCAAGACCUUCAUCUUCCAGACUUGUUUUCUCAUCUGGAAGGUGGAGAUAAUAACACUACCUAUAUGCAAAGGGCUAUUGUGAGAAUUCAAUCAGUUGUUGUUCUAGAAAGUGCUCUGUAACCACUACAAAGACUAGGCAUGAAACCUCCUCUGUAGAGGGCUCCCAGAUUGCUCCAAACUCAAAAUGCCCCUUUCCUGAGGGUUCCCAGAACCCAUGGUCAAGCCUUCCGUGGUAUCCCUGGCCUAGAUGCAAGUAACUGUUUUGCAGCUGUCACCUUCUGCUCCAGCUCCCACUAAAGCACCCUCCCAACCCCAAUCCCUGCCAUACUAUGAACUUUUUUUAAAUUUAUUUAUUUUUGAGACAAGGUCUCACUGUGUCACCCAGGCUGGAAUGCAAUACAGUGUCAAGAUCAUGGCUUAUCACAGCCUUAUCUCCAGGGCUCAAGCGAUCCUCCCACCUCAGGCUCCCAGGUAGCUGGGACCACAGGCAUGUGCCAACACGCAUAGCUAAUUUUUUUUUUUUUUUUUUUUUUUUUUUUUUUGCAGAAAUGAGGUUUCCCUAUGUUGCCCAGGCUGGUCUUGAACUCCUGGGCUCAAACAAUCCUCUCACCUCAGCCUCCCAAAGUGUUGGGGUUACAGACGUGAGUCACAGCGCCUGGCCAACUGAACUUGUCAAGGCAGAUGUGGUAGCUAAUUCAUCCCUGUACUCAUUCAAAACUACAGCCUGAUAAGACUUGGCAAAAUGAUACUAAAGUUUAUCUUAAAACAACAACAACAAUAAAAACAGACAGCAAUGUUAUGAAAACAAAGAGCAGUGGAGGGAAAGAUGGGACCAGAUACUGAAACAAUUUGACAAUGGCUAUCAGAAUUUUUUAAAUGUACAUACCUUUCAUGCCAACAACUCCAUUUCUAAGAAUCUACACCAUAGAAAUAAUUGCAGUAAUUACAUAAAGAUGCAAGGAUGUCUACUGCGAUCUGUUCCGUAACUAUAGCAAACAAUUGGAAACAACCCAAGGGCCCAUCAAUAGGGGAUGACAAAAUAAAUUGUGAUGCAUGAUUAUAAAAUCAUACAAUGCAAUGCUGAGCAGCUGUUAAAAAGAAAUUAGUGGGUCUGUAUUUGCUGAGGUAGGAAGAAUCUCUAAGAGACAGCAAGAGUCAGAACAGGAAGUACAAUAUGAGUCCAUUUCUUUAAAAACAUUCUCCUGCCACUAUCAUCACUUUUUUUUUUUUUUGAGAUGGAGUUUUGCUCUUGUUGCCCAGGCUGGAGUGAAAUGGCAUGAUCUCUGCUCGCUGUAAACUCCACCUCCUGGGUUCAAGCGAUUCUCCUGCCUCAGCCUCCCAAGUACCUGGGAUUAUAGACAUAUGCCACCACAACCAGCUAAUUUUGUAUUUUUAGUAGAGACAGGGUUUCUCCACUUUGGUCAGGCUAGUCUCAAACUCCCAACCUCAAGUGAUCCACCUGCCUCAGCCUCCCAAAGUGCUGGGAUAACAGGCGUGAGCCACCACACAUGGCCUAUGUUCACAUCUUCAUCAGUCAAAUUUCCCUUCCUGUCCCCAGAUGACAAUCUGGCAGAUACUAUGCUUUGCAAUCAUUUUAGGAUAUUAAAAGUCUGGUCCAACUCAAUUUAAAAUUCCAAGCCCUUCAAUCUACAAAAUACGGCCAGACGCGGUGGCUCACACCUGUAAUCCCAGCACUUUGGGAGGCCAAGGUGGGUGGAUCACAAGGUCAGGGGUUCGAGACCAGCCUGGCCAACAUGGUGAAACCCCAUCUCUACUAAAAACACAAAAAUUAGCUGGGCGUGUUGGUGUGUGCCUGUAAUCUCAGCUACUGGGGAGGCUGAGGCAGGAGAAUGGCUUGAACCCAGGAAGAGGAGGUUGCAGUGAGCCGAGAUCACGCCACUGCACUCCAGCCUGGGUGACAGAGCAAGACUCCAUCUCAAAAAAAAAAAAAAAUCUUCAAAAUACAUAUAGCACAGAUAUAUAUCAUAUUGUCAUAUUAACUUGUUUAUUUUUCACCACAGCCCUCUGAAGUAGGUACUAUGAUUAUCCUCCACAUCUUACAGAUGAGGAAAUUGUGGUAUAGACAGGUGACUUCCCCAAAUUCACACAGACAGUAAAUGGCAAAGCCAGGUUCUCUGCCCUUAACCACUGUGUUAUAUCACCCUAGGCUCACAGGACCUCAAAUGGGACUUUUCCUUGUCUCAGAAUUUCAGCUGGCGUACUGUAUAUCAUUAGCUAGAUAUACUAGAAUUCAUUUAGCCAUCACCCUAAUGAUAGACAUAGAGAUUAUUUCCAGUCUUGUGCUAUUAUAAACAGUGCUGCAAUGAACUUUGUGUGUAUGUUUUUGUGCACCUGUACAACUAUUUCAGUAGCUUAGAUUCAUAAAAGUGCAAUUGCUGGAUCAAUGGGUACAUUUAAAUUUGAAUAGAUGUUCCAGAUAUCUAUUGCUAUAUAACUAACUAUCUCAAAAUUUAGUGCUCAAAAACAACCAUUUUGGCCAGGUGUGGUGGCUCACGCCUGUAAUCCCUGCACUUUGGGAGGCCGAGGCGGGCAGAACACGAGGUCAGAAGAUUGAGACCAUCCUGGCCAACAGGGUGAAACCCUUUCUCUACUAAAAAUACAAAAAUUAGCUGGGCAUGGUGGUGUGCACCUGUAAUCUCAGCUACUCGGGAGGCUGAGGCAGGACAAUCGCUUGAACCAGGGAGCUGGAGGUUGCAGUGAGCAUAGAUCAUGCCACUGCACUCUAGCCUGGGCAACAGAGUGAGACUCGGUCUCAAAAAAAAAAAAAAUAUUUUAUAUUGUUCAUGAUUUUGUGGGUCAGGGAUUUUGGGAAGGGCUCAGCCGGAUGGUUCAUCUGUGAUUCUCUUCCAAGGUGGCUUCAUCGCUCACAUGACUGGGGCCUCAGUGCUCCUUGACUGCUCUUUAAACAUGUGGUGUCAUAUCCUGUAGGGAUUCCCCACAUGGUUUGGGCUUUUUACAGCAUGUGAACAUUAGAUAAUGCAGGUCAGGUAACCAGGUAGUUGGCUUCCAAGAGGGAGGAUAUGGAACCUGCUGGACAAUCUAAGGGAUACACUUGCAACUGAGACAGUAUCACUUGCUGUAUUUUAUUGACCAGGGAAUUCACGGUCCAACCCAAAUUCAAGAAAAGGGGACAUAGACCCCACCUCUCCAUGGAAGGCACAUCAGAGAACUUGUGACCACUUUUACUCUACCAUAAUAGUUAUUUCCAAAUUGCCCUCCAAAAUAUUGGUCAAUUUACAUUCCCAGCAAUGAUGCACUAGAUUGUCCUUCCCCACACCCUCACCAACACCAUACAUUGUAAAACACUUCAAUUCAUGCUGAUCUAGCAGCUGAAAAUGGUACUGUAUUUCAUUGUCAUUCUUUCAUGCAUUUCUUUAAUUAUGGGUGAAGGUAAGUAUCUUUUCACGUAUUUGCUGUUCAUUAAAUUUUAUUUUUUCUUGUGAAUUGUCUGUCUAUAUAUUUUACCCAUUUUAAAAUUUGGUUGGACUUUUUUAUAUUGAUUUAUAAAAUGUAUAUAUUAAAAAGAGUAGCUUUUUUUUUUUUUUUUUUUUUUGAGCUAGGGUCUUGCUCUGUUGGCAGGCUGGAGUGCAGUAGCAUGAUCUCAGCUCACUGCAACCUCUGCCUCCUGGGUUCAAGCAAUUCCCCUGCCUCAGCCUCCUGAGUAGCUUUUAUCUGAUAUUAUGUUACAAAUAGUUUUCCACAGUGUGUGGACUUUUGACUUUGUUUUUUGACAAUUUUCUCAAUUUAGGUUUUAAAUUUUUACAGGUUCAAAUUAUCAACCUUUUACUUUAAGAUUUCUGGAUUUUGGCCAGGCACAGUGGCUCACGCCUGUAAUCGCAGCACUUUGGGAGGCCAAGGCAGGUGGAUCACAAGGUAAGGAGAUUGAGACCAUCCUGCCCAACAUGGUGAAACCCCAUCUCUACUAAAAAUACAAAAUUUAGCUGGGUGUGGUGGUGUGUGCCUGUAAUCCCAGCUACUGGGGAGGCUGAGGCACGAGAAUCACUUAAACCCAGGAGGUGGAGGUUGCAGUGAGUGGAGAUCGCGCCACUGCACUCCAGCCUGGCGACAGAGCAAGACUCUGGAUUUUCUUUUUUUUUUUUUGAGACGGAGUCUCGCUCUGUCGCCCAGGCUGGAGUGCAGUGGCACGAUCUCCGCUCACUGCAAGCUCUGCCUCCUGGGUUCACGCCAUUCUCCUGCCUCAGCCUCCUG